rnacentral:tRNA from 1 species
GGGGAUGUAGCUCAGUGGCAUAAGCACCUGCCUUGCAAGCAGGCAGUUGUGAGUUCAAUUCCCGGUACCG